UUAAGCAUAUCAAUAAGCGGAGGAAAAGAAACCAACAGGGAUUGCCUCAGUAACGGCGAGUGAAGCGGCAAGAGCUCAAAUUUGAAAGCUGGCUCCUUCGGGGUCCGCAUUGUAAUUUGCAGAGGAUGCUUCGGGAGCGGCCCCCAUCUAAGUGCCCUGGAACGGGCCGUCAUAGAGGGUGAGAAUCCCGUCUGGGAUGGGGUGCCCGCGACCAUGUGAAGCUCCUUCGACGAGUCGAGUUGUUUGGGAAUGCAGCUCUAAAUGGGUGGUAAAUUUCAUCUAAAGCUAAAUAUUGGCCGGAGACCGAUAGCGCACAAGUAGAGUGAUCGAAAGAUGAAAAGCACUUUGAAAAGAGAGUUAAAAAGCACGUGAAAUUGUUGAAAGGGAAGCGCUUGCGACUAGACUCGCCCACGGGGUAACAGCCGCUAUUCGUAGCGGUGCACUUCCCCGUGGUCGGGCCAGCGUCGGUUUGGGCGGCCGGUCAAAGGCCCUCGGAAUGUAACGCCUCUCGGGGCGUCUUAUAGCCGGGGGUGCCAUGCGGCCAGCCCAGACCGAGGAUCGCGCUUCGGCACGGACGCUGGCUUAAUGGUCGUAAGCGACCCGUCUUGAAACACGGACCAAGGAGUCUAACAUCUACGCGAGUGUUCGGGUGUCAAACCCGUGCGCGCAGUGAAAGCGAACGGAGGUGGGAACCCUUUGGGUGCACCAUCGACCGAUCCUGAUGUCUUCGGAUGGAUUUGAGUAAGAGCGUAGCUGUUGGGACCCGAAAGAUGGUGAACUAUGCCUGAAUAGGGCGAAGCCAGAGGAAACUCUGGUGGAGGCUCGCAGCGGUUCUGACGUGCAAAUCGAUCGUCAAAUUUGGGUAUAGGGGCGAAAGACUAAUCGAACCAUCUAGUAGCUGGUUCCUGCCGAA
rnacentral:rRNA from 1 species